CCUGAGAAAUCCAAAAGAUCGAAUGGAGAGAUUCAGCGUCAGUGGAGUUGGCUUUCGUGCGGUUGCGAUGUUUCGAGCGGGUAUCGUUCGCGGUACUGCGGCUCGGGCACGCGAUCGCUGCGUUAUGUCCGAUUACGCCGGCGUGCACUUCUCUCCUAGUAGGACGUCGCGACCCGUUGGGUGUCGGUCAACGGCCCAUAUGGUAGCCUAGUUGCGCGUUCACGCGCGCAACAGACCUUUGGUGUUCUGACCCGACCGUCUGCCCGACGGUAUUUUGAACGAUCAUAUCGAUGGUAUUAAGCCGCAUUCGAAUGCGUUCGGCUCGCGCGAUCUAUCGGUCUUCGCUCGGAGUUUUACGGACCUAGUGCCGUUGCCGAGCGUUUGAAUGAUUCAGGUCGUCGUGUUCUCGAACCGGCUUUAUUAUAAACUACCGGUCAGCGAUGCUUUUGCUUUGGAUACUUUCAGG
rnacentral:rRNA from 1 species